rnacentral:rRNA from 1 species
AGGUUUGAUUCUGGCUCAGGAUGAACGCUAGCGACAGGCUUAACACAUGCAAGUCGAGGGGCAGCACGGGAGUAGCAAUACUUGGUGGCGACCGGCGCACGGGUGAGUAACGCGUAUGCAACCUACCUAUCAGAGGGGAAUAACCCGGCGAAAGUCGGACUAAUACCGCAUAAAACAGGGGCACCGCAUGGUGAUAUUUGUUAAAGAAAUUCGCUGAUAGAUGGGCAUGCGUUCCAUUAGGUAGUUGGUGAGGUAACGGCUCACCAAGCCGACGAUGGAUAGGGGAACUGAGAGGUUGGUCCCCCACACUGGUACUGAGACACGGACCAGACUCCUACGGGAGGCAGCAGUGAGGAAUAUUGGUCAAUGGGCGGGAGCCUGAACCAGCCAAGUCGCGUGAAGGAAAGAAGGAUCUAUGGUUCGUAAACUUCUUUUGCAGGGGAAUAAAGUGCAGGACGUGUCCUGUUUUGUAUGUACCCUGAGAAUAAGGAUCGGCUAACUCCGUGCCAGCAGCUGC